GAUGAACGCUGGCGGCGUGACUAAUACAUGCAAGUCGAGCGAACGGACGAGAAGCUUGCUUCUCUGAUGUUAGCGGCGGACGGGUGAGUAACACGUGGAUAACCUACCUAUAAGACUGGGAUAACUUCGGGAAACCGUAGCUAAUACCGGAUAAUAUUUUGAACCGCAUGGUUCAAAAGUGAAAGACGGUCUUGCUGUCACUUAUAGAUGGAUCCGCGCUGCAUUAGCUAGUUGGUAAGGUAACGGCUUACCGAGGCAACGAUGCAUAGCCGACCUGAGAGGGUGAUCGGCCACACUGGAACUGAGACACGGUCCAGACUCCUACGGGAGGCAGCAGUAGGGAAUCUUCCGCAAUGGGCGAAAGCCUGACGGAGCAACGCCGCGUGAGUGAUGAAGGUCUUCGGAUCGUAAAACUCUGUUAUUAGGGAAGAACAUAUGUGUAAGUAACUGUGCACAUCUUGACGGUACCUAAUCAGAAAGCCACGGCUAACUACGUG
rnacentral:rRNA from 1 species